rnacentral:rRNA from 1 species
GAUGAACGCUGGCGGCGUGCCUAAUACAUGCAAGUCGAACGCUUCACUUCGGUGAAGAGUGGCGAACGGGUGAGUAAUACAUAAGUAACCUGGCAUCUACAGGGGGAUAACUGAUGGAAACGUCAGCUAAGACCGCAUAGGUGUAGAGAUCGCAUGAACUCUAUAUGAAAAGUGCUACGGNACUGGUAGAUGAUGGACUUAUGGCGCAUUAGCUUGUUGGUAGGGUAACGGCCUACCAAGGCGACGAUGCGUAGCCGACCUGAGAGGGUGACCGGCCACACUGGGACUGAGACACGGCCCAGACUCCUACGGGAGGCAGCAGUAGGGAAUUUUCGGCAAUGGGGGAAACCCUGACCGAGCAACGCCGCGUGAAGGAAGAAGUAAUUCGUUAUGUAAACUUCUGUCAUAGAGGAAGAACGGUGGAUAUAGGGAAUGAUAUCCAA